rnacentral:tRNA from 1 species
GACUCGAUAGCUUAAUAGGUAGAGCGGCGGUCUAGAUACCCGAAGAUGCGAGUUCAAAUCUCGCUCGAGCCA